CGAACGCUGGCGGCAGGCUUAACACAUGCAAGUCGAACGGGUGUCGCAAGACAUCAGUGGCAGACGGGUGAGUAACACGUGGGAACCUUCCUAGGGGUACGGAACAACUCAGGGAAACUUGAGCUAAUACCGUAUACGUCCGUAAGGAGAAAGAUUUAUCGCCCUUAGACGGGCCCGCGUCGGAUUAGCUAGUUGGUGGGGUAACGGCCUACCAAGGCGACGAUCCGUAGCUGAUCUGAGAGGAUGAUCAGCCACACUGGGACUGAGAUACGGCCCAGACUCCUACGGGAGGCAGCAGUGGGGAAUCUUGGACAAUGGGCGCAAGCCUGAUCCAGCCAUGCCGCGUGAGUGAAGAAGGCCUUAGGGUUGUAAAGCUCUUUUACCAGGGACGAUAAUGACGGUACCUGGAGAAUAAGCCCCGGCAAACUUCGUGCCAGCAGCCGCGGUAAUACGAAGGGGGCUAGCGUUGUUCGGAAUUACUGGGCGUAAAGCGCACGUAGGCGGGUCGUUAAGUCAGGGGUGAAAUCCCGGAGCUCAACUCCGGAACUGCCUUUGAUACUGGCGAUCUAGAGGUCGAGAGAGGUGAGUGGAAUUCCGAGUGUAGAGGUGAAAUUCGUAGAUAUUCGGAAGAACACCAGUGGCGAAGGCGGCUCACUGGCUCGAUACUGACGCUGAGGUGCGAAAGCGUGGGGAGCAAA
rnacentral:rRNA from 1 species